rnacentral:tRNA from 1 species
GCAUUGGUGGUUCAGUGGAAGAAUUCUCGCCUGCCACACGGUAAGCCCAUGUUUGAUUCCGGGCCAAUGCA